UACAAGUGCUAUUUAAAAUCCACUUCGAAUAAGUUCUCAUAAGGAAAAUUUUACAUAUUUAUAUAUAUAAUACAGAGCUUAGAAAAUAUGAAACUUCAGUAACAAUGUAUUUUAUGUCUUUUUUUUUAACUUAAAAAUUGUGUUAUUUUACAAUUAUUUAAAAGCCCCUCAAACUGGGGAUCAAGCUUCUAAUUGCAUAAUUUUAAACACAACUAUUAAUAUAAAAAACUAUAUAAUAAAAUAUCCA
rnacentral:misc_RNA from 1 species